ACUGCAGUGACCCGAGAUUGCACCAUUGCACUCUGGCCUGGGCAACAAGAGCAAAACUCCGUCUCAAAAAAAAAAAAAAAUUCUAUAUGAUUUAAAGAUUAGCCUCCUCUUCCACAGCCAGCCCAGUAUUUGAGACUGCUAUGGUUUGAAUGCCGGUCCCCUCUGAAACUCAUGUUGAAAUUUAAUUGCUGUCAUACCAGUAUUAAGAUGUAGCACCUUUAAGAGGUGAUUAGGCCACGAGGACUCUACCGUCAGGAAUGAGUUAAUGUUGUUAUCAUGGGAGUGGGUUUGUUAUUAAAGUAUUUUUUAUAAAAGGACUAGUCUCUCCCCCUUUUGGCACACUCUUGCCCUCUCUUUGCUGUUUCACCGUGGGAUGACACAGCAAGAAGGCCCUUGCCAGUCGUCAGCCCUUCAGUCUUGGACUUCCCAGUCUCCAGGACCAUGAGCCAAUACAUUUCUGUUCAUUAUAUAAAUUACCUAGUCUGUGGUAUUCUGUUAUAGCAGCACAAAGCAGAGUAAGACAGAGACAAAGAUGCUCACCUGUACCAAGGUGGAAGCUUCAAAAGAAGCCAUUCAUGUAUGGGGUGGUGCUGCAAAAGGACCACAGUAGAGAAUCCCUCACCAGUAAGGAACUGUGUUAAUCAGGAGGGGCCAGAAGGCUCCUCUCCAGGCGUCAUAGGGGGAAACACUGGUCUCAUGAGAGACCUGGGUCCUGCCCAUCAGGACCAAAGUGGCACAUGCGAGGACCCUGCAGGCCAAGAGACGACAGCGAUUACAAACCCCAGCCCCAGCCUUGCAGCUGACCUUGCAGGUGACACCCUGCCCGGCUGUCCCGGUGCAGCUGAACAUCAGGGGCCUCUGCUGGACAGAAGCUCCGAGUCCACACUCUGACCCCAGGGGCUGGGGCUGGACCACUUCUACGAGGGGGGAUGCUGCCGUGGCUGCAUCAGUUUCAGCCUUUUCCCUGCCCUGAGACAUCCCAGAGAGCGGCUGGGUGCUCACGGUUCCCUUUAGGCCAUCAGAGGAAGAUCAAAGAUCAACCCUCCCCCAUGGGCCCCUGCCUGCCGGGUGGGCUCCCUGCCUGUCUCCCGGCCCCCAAUAGCUCCACAGAUUCUGCCGAUGGCUGCUUUAAAGGAGGGAGGGGGUUUUCUGAUUCUCUGGAUAUCCCUGGGGCUGGAACUGUGGGCUGAGCCAUGGGAGAGCCAGCCCAGUUCCCUGGGGGUUGUGGGCUGUGCCCCUCCGUCCCUUAGUAAAAAUGCAGCAACUCGCAACUCGGAGUCAAGGGUCAAUAGUCAGAAAACCUUGGUGCAGCCUGGGACAGGCAUAGAGGUCUCAGCACAGCUGUCCAAGAGCAAGACCUAGAAUCUAGCAGGGAACUAUGUAGUCACCCCCGAGAGGCCGGGCUCUCUUCCUGAGUUCCAGGCCUAGGGUGGGGGUGGUUGUGGGUUCUGCACACACUGUUCCCCUACGUGAUGGGUCUGUCCCACUUGGCUCCUCCCACUCGCUUCCCUCCUGUGGAGAAGCCUGUCCAGGUAUCACUGCCUCCAGGAAGCUGUCUCUGAUUUCUCCAGUUGAACAGUGAGACUUGCCACACCUCACAUGCUCGCUCUUGUCACUGGAAUUAUAACCACAGGUUUUCCUGUAUCCUGGACGACAAGGAUGAGGGCUUUCCACUUGAGCCUCCCUGGUGGAGCCCAGCUCCUGGCAUACCUGGUGAAAGUUCUCAAAAAGAAGAACAUGGAGGAGGAAUGUGGAUAACAACCCUGGCUGCCUGCAUAUUCUGAGCUAGGAAGAUGUAAUGGUGAAUGGCCUGCCUGUGUCCCAGCUCUGACUCAAGCCCAGGCCCUGGGUUCUGGCCCGAGCCUGAGUACUAGGUCCAGAGCCACCCAGCGCCAGGCCACAUCCGCCUCACCUGGGACCCUGCGUGGGGUACAGUCUCGGGCCCCACCCACACCUGCUGAGUGAGAGACCCCAUGGCAGGACUCAGCCACCUGGGGUUUCACAAGCCUCCAGUGGGUUCCUAGGCAUGAAGACCACUGGUGAGAGGAUGAACUGGCAGGAGCCUGUCUCUAGCCCCUCCUCGCCCCAGCCUGGCCCUGCCUCAGAGGCGGCACCCAGGAUGUGGCCAUGACCUGUGGACUCCACUCAAUCCCUCUUCUCCAGGAGCCAUGCAAAGUGUCAGCCAGCCAGGCCUCCAGAAGGCAGUCAUCACCUGUGAGGGCAUUGCGGUGUCAGUCGUGCAACUGCCAAGUGCCAGCAUAUGGCCCAUGUCCAGUGCUCGGUAGCAGGGAGCCAUGACCUGGCAAAGAUUCCAGGCUCAAAGGCGCACCUGGGGGCCCUGGCCUCAGGGCGGCUCAACUUUGCCGGCACAUCUGCCUCCUUCCAGAUCUCCCAUGCUCACCUCUGCCACAGGGAGGGAAGGCUCUGCCCGGGCCUUCCUUCCCUCAGCUCCGCCAGUGCAGGCUGGGCAGCCUGGGCUUCUGCCCACACUUUCUUCUUGAAAGAAGAACAAGGCUGAGGCUGCCAAACGCAUCUCAGAUGCAUUUUUAAAAAUCUUGGCCCCCUCUCCUUGUCCCAUCAUCCGCCUGGGAGGCCCUCCUCUCUCCGUGGUUCUCUCCCCACACUCUGUCACUGCCACAUUUUCACCUGGGCCUGGCCUUUGUCUCCACCUGAAACUCCUGAAAAUCUUGAAAUGGA